rnacentral:lncRNA from 1 species
AGAGUAGAGUCAUCCGUGGCCGGAAGAAGUCUGGAAGGGAUUCGGAGAAUAGUUGAUCACCGUAGAAAAUUGGCUGAUAGUGAAGCUUAGAGAGUAUUUGGAGCAGUCCGGUAGAUGAAUGGGAAAGCUCAUUGUCGGACAAGUUCGAAUGGUAUUAUGAAAGCUCGGACGGUCGAGGGAGUUCAGAAAGAUGCCACAC